rnacentral:lncRNA from 1 species
GUCUUUUUGUAGCGUCCUGGCUUCUGGUCUUGCCAAAUUAGCUUGUAGGUACAGUUCCUUUAAGGCUGAUGUCCCUUCAUAUUCUUCUACUAAUGCAUUAACAUCUCUGACAUCCCAGCCUGAGAGGAGCUCUCUCAUCUGCUUGGCAUGAUCGGCAGAUCGGCUGGACUUCCGACGCUUAAUGAAUUUCUUUUUGAGGGUGGCAAGGCCAGAGGUUUUCUUUUUCUUGUCUUGAGGUUUCUCAUGGCCAUGGUCAAGGCUAUAGAGCUUCGAUUCACAGCCAUAACCUUGAUGAGAAUAGGAUGAUGUUCCUAUGAAUGUCUGUUGUGCCUGUGAACUUCCCCCUACCCUUGGGGAACAUGAGUGAGGGUAGUUAGAUGCAUUAGCACCCAUUUUCUUCAGUCACUCAGGCAUUCCGCCUGCUGGCUCUUCAAUGUAUAAUCCCAUAAUCCUUUAUAAGUCUUCAGUCCCAGAUCCAGCAUUUUGUUCCUCCAUUUCUCCGGCAGCCGUUCGCGGCCGCCAUCCUCCCCGCUCAGCGCCACCCGCUCCCUCCCGGCCCCGCUCCGGCCGCCG